rnacentral:rRNA from 1 species
AUGAACGCUGGCGGCGUGCUUAAUACAUGCAAGUCGAACGAAGAGUGUAGCAAUAUACUCUUAGUGGCGAACGGGUGAGUAACGCGUUGGUGACCUGCCCCGAAGUGAGGGAUAACAGUUCGAAAGGACUGCUAAUACCCCAUGUGGUCUUAGGGACUAGACGCCUUUUGACUAAAGGUGCAAACCGCUUCGGGAGGGACCUGCGUCCCAUCAGCUUGUUGGUAGGGUAACGGCCUACCAAGGCGACGACGGGUAGGGGGCCUGAGAGGGUGACCCCCCACACUGGCACUGAAACACGGGCCAGACACCUACGGGUGGCAGCAGUAGGGAAUAUUGCACAAUGGGCGAAAGCCUGAUGCAGCAACGCCGCGUGCACGAUGAAGGCCUUCGGGUCGUAAAGUGCUUUUUGGGGAGAUGAGGAAGGACAGUAUCCCCAGAAUAAGUCUCGGCUAACUACGU